rnacentral:pre_miRNA from 1 species
GAGAGAUGUCAUAGAGUCAGUAGUGAGAGAUGUCACUCACUACUGACUCUAUGACAUAUCUCUC